rnacentral:rRNA from 1 species
GACGAAUGCUGGCUGCGUGCUUAACACAUGCAAGUCGAACGGUGAAGGAGGGCUUGCCCUCCGGAUCAGUGGCGAACGGGUGAGUAACACGUGGGCAACCUGCCCCUCACUCUGGGAUAACGCCGGGAAACCGGCGCUAAUACCGGAUACGACCAGGCGCGACAUCUCGCCUGGUGGAAAGAAUUUCGGUGAGGGAUGGGCCCGCGGCCUAUAAGCUUGUUGGUGGGGUAACGGCCCACCAAGGCGACGACGGGUAGCCGGCCUGAGAGGGCGGCCGGCCACACUGGGACUGAGACUCGGCCCAGACUCCAACGGGAGGCAGCGGUGGGGAAUAUUGCGCAAUGGGCGAGAGCCUGACGCAGCGACGCAGCGUGAGGGACGAAGGCCUUCGGGUUGUAAACCUCUUUCAGCGGGGACGAAGCGAAAGUGACGGUACCCGCAGAAGAAGCACCGGCUAACUACGUGCCAGCCGCCGCGGUAAGAC